rnacentral:rRNA from 1 species
UACGGGGGGUGCAAGCGUUACUCGGAAUCACUGGGCGUAAAGAGCAUGUAGGCGGAUUAAUAAGUUUGAAGUGAAAUCCUGGAGCUUAACUAUAGAAGUGCUUGGAAAACUGUUAAUCUAGAAUGUGGGAGAGGUAGAUGGAAUUUCUGGUGUAGGGGUAAAAUCCGUAGAGAUCAGAAGGAAAACCGAUUGCGAAGGCGAUUUACUGGAAC